rnacentral:rRNA from 1 species
GAUGAACGCUGGCGGCGUGUCUAAUACAUGCAAGUCGAGCGAAUGGAUUAAGAGCUUGCUCUUAUGAAGUUAGCGGCGGACGGGUGAGUAACACGUGGGUAACCUGCCCAUAAGACUGGGAUAACUCCGGGAAACCGGGGCUAAUACCGGAUAACAUUUUGAACCGCAUGGUUCGAAAUUGAAAGGCGGCUUCGGCUGUCACUUAUGGAUGGACCCGCGUCGCAUUAGCGAGUUGGUGAGGUAACGGCUCACCAAGGCAACGAUGCGUAGCCGACCUGAGAGGGUGAUCGGCCACACUGGGACUGAGACACGGCCCAGACUCCUACGGGAGGCAGCAGUAGGGAAUCUUCCGCAAUGGACGAAAGUCUGACGGAGCAACGCCGCGUGAGUGAUGAAGGCUUUCGGGUCGUAAAACUCUGUUGUUAGGGAAGAACAAGUGCUAGUUGAAUAAGCUGGCACCUUGACGGUACCUAACCAGAAAGCCACGGCUAACUACGUGCCAGCCGCCGCCGUAA